CAGUCGCCGCGGGAAUACAGAGGGUGCGAGCGUUAAUCGGAUUUACUGGGCGUAAAGCGUGCGUAGGCGGCCUCUUAAGUCGGAUGUGAAAUCCCUGAGCUUAACUUAGGAAUUGCAUUCGAUACUGGGAAGCUAGAGUAUGGGAGAGGAUGGUAGAAUUCCAGGUGUAGCGGUGAAAUGCGUAGAGAUCUGGAGGAAUACCGAUGGCGAAGGCAGCCAUCUGGCCUAAUACUGACGCUGAGGUACGAAAGCAUGGGGAGCAAACAGGAUUAGAUACCCCUGUAGUCCCUGUCUCUUAUAC
rnacentral:rRNA from 1 species